AUAAUCCCUGCGGGGGAAAGAUUUAUCGCUAUUAGAUGAGCCUAUGUUAGAUUAGCUAGUUGGUAGGGUAAAGGCCUACCAAGGCGAUGAUCUAUAGCUGGUCUGAGAGGAUGAUCAACCACACUGGAACUGAGAUACGGUCCAGACUCCUACGGGAGGCAGCAGUGGGGAAUAUUGGACAAUGGGCGCAAGCCUGAUCCAGCUAUGCCGCGUGAGUGAGGAAGGCCUUAGGGUUGUAAAACUCUUUCAGUAGGGAAGAUAAUGACGGUACCUACAGAAGAAGUCCCGGCAAACUCCGUGCCAGCAGCCGCGGUAAUACGGAGGGGGCAAGCGUUGUUCGGAAUUAUUGGGCGUAAAGGGCAUGUAGGCGGUUCGGUAAGUUAAAGGUGAAAUGCCAGGGCUUAACCCUGGAGCUGCUUUUAAUACUGCCA
rnacentral:rRNA from 1 species